CCAAUAGCGUAUAUUAAAGUUGUUGCAGUUAAAAAGCUCGUAGUUGAAUUUCGGAAUCAAUAUGUCGGUCGUGCCUUCGGUACGUACUGGUAUCAUUGGUUUCUCCUUUCUGACGAACCAUGAUGUCAUUAAUUUGGUGUUAUGGGGAGUUAGGACUGUUACUUUGAAAAAAUUAGAGUGUUUAAAGCAGGCUUUAGCUUGAAUACAUUAGCAUGGAAUAAUGAAAUAGGACGUUCGAACCUAUUUUGUUGGUUUCUAGGAUCAACGUAAUGAUUAAUAGGGAUAGUUGGGGGCAUUAGUAUUCAAUUGUCAGAGGUGAAAUUCUUGGAUUUAUUGAAGACUAACUACUGCGAAAGCAUUUGCCAAGGAUGUUUUCAUUAAUCAAGAACGAAAGUUAGGGGAUCGAAGACGAUCAGAUACCGUCGUAGUCUUAACCAUAAACUAUGCCGACUAGGGAUCGGAUGAUGUUAAUUUUUUAAUGACUCAUUCGGCGCCUUACG
rnacentral:misc_RNA from 1 species